rnacentral:rRNA from 1 species
CCUAAAACUCCUAACAGCUAGCCCCACCCACCAAAAAAAACCAACAAACAUUAAUAACCCCAAAAACCCUAAAACAACAAAACAAACCAUUUUUCCCCCAAAGUAUGGGCGACAGAAACGGAAUUAAGGCGCAAUAGAAAAAGUACCGCAAGGGAAAGCUGAAAGAGAAGUGAAACAACCCAGUCAAGAGAAAAAAAGCAAAGAUUACCUCUUGUACCUUUUGCAUCAUGAAUUAGCCAGAAACCUUCAAGCAAAGUGCACUUUAGUUUGAAUCCCCGAAACUGAGCGAGCUACUCCAAGACUGCCUAUUGGGCUAAUCCGUCUCUGUGGCAAAAGAGUGGAAUGAGCUUUGAGUAGAGGUGAUAAACCUAUCGAGCCCAGUUAUAGCUGGUUGCCUAUAAAAUGAAUAGAAGUUCAGCCUUUAAGUUUUUCUAUUUAACCCUGACCACAUCUUCAACCAAUACAGAGAAACUCAAAGAGUUAUUCAAGGGGGGCACACCCCCCUUGAAAAAAGACACAACUUUACUAAGCAGGCUAAGGAUUAAAGAAUUUUUAAGGGUAGAAAUCCUAGUUGGCCUAAAAGCAGCCACCCUUAUAGAAAGCGUUAAAGCUCAAGCCCUCCCUCCUCCCUAAGAUACCUAUAACAUCAUCCUAAACCCCUUACAAAUCUAGUAGGCCAAUUUAUGCAAACAUAAAAGAGAUACUGCUAAUAUGAGUAAUAAGGGGGCCACAGACCCCCUCCCGGCACCUGUAUACACCAGAACGAACCCACACUGAAAAUUAACGCUCCCAAUUACAGAGGGUAUUGAGACAAGUUAAAUAAUCAAGAAAAUCUCUCAACCCCACAACGUUACCCCCACACAGGUGUGCCCAAGGAAAGACUAAAAGAAAAAGAAGGAACUCGGCAAACUGUGGCCCCGCCUGUUUACCAAAAACAUCGCCUCUUGCAUAAUAUCAUAUAAGAGGUCCCACCUGCCCUGUGACUUACGAGUUUAACGGCCGCGGUAUCCUGACCGUGCAAAGGUAGCGCAAUCACUUGUUUUUUAAAUGGAGACCUGUAUGAAUGGUUUUACGAGGGCUAGACUGUCUCCUUUUUCCAGUCAAUGAAAUUGAUUUUCCUGUGCAGAAGCAGGAAUAACAUCAUAAGACGAGAAGACCCUAUGGAGCUUUAGACACAAGACAGCCUACAGUGAACUAACCAAAACAAUGGGAUGAUAGCAGAGUUAGACCCUGUCCUCAUGUCUUUGGUUGGGGCGACCGUGGGGCACCAAAAACCCCCCAUGUGGAAUGGGGCCUAAACCCCUAAAGUUAGAGCCACAGCUCUUACAAACAGAAUAUCUGACCUUCAAUGACCCGGCACUAAAACCGAUCAACGGACAGAGUUACCCUAGGGAUAACAGCGCAAUCCCCUUCUAGAGCCCAUAUCAACAAGGGGGUUUACGACCUCGAUGUUGGAUCAGGACCCCCUAAUGGUGCAGCCGCUAUUAAGGGUUC